AAAUCUUCAAUACCCAGGCAGGGGGCGCAGACAGUCUGGGUGCGUUCACAGGGUUUGAGGACGCCCUCCCCGGGCGGACACUUCACACAGCAUUCUCCGGUUGCCGUGAACUGUCCCGACAAACAAUCCUCCUUAUUAGCCAGAGCCCCGACCUGCCAAUCACAACAGAGAUCAUUAUGCCUGCAGCAGAUAAAAACGCCCAGUACUUCAUGAGAAACAACUACAGAAAUAAAUACUUUGUCUUUAAUCAUCCAGAGUCUCCUUACAGGUUUACUUUGGAACCACUAAAAGUCCCAGCGCAGGGAACGUGCAACAGGAUUCAAGAUAAAUAUAAGGGGGUGUGAGAUGAUUAAUGGGAUGGGAAAGAAGAAACUGCUGAUUUCAGCGACACCAUACUGUAAAUUGUUCUGACUUCUUUCUCUGUUCUGUAUGCGCUUGUAAAAUAUAUGGGGACUUUUUCUUAUCGAGCUUCCUAAACUACUGAAAUAAAACAAUCUAAGGAUGAAAAACUCUUUGGUUGCACUGCUUACAACACUUUGAAAUGAUGUACUGGGAUGUUUGAUGUAGGGUUGCAAAGAAACCCUUUUUCUAUUUUCUGUAAACUUUGAUGAAGUAGGGGUUUGCCCUCUGACACCGGGCCAACGGAGACCUGUCUUUAAUUCAAUCCAGAUACCUGAGGAGGGAUUGUUUUUAUUUAUGAGGUUAUUUUGUUAUCCUGUUGACAGCAAAUCUCUAACUUGUUGACAGACAAGACGCAGAUCAAGGUUUUUGAUCGAGGAUCUUGAGUAGCUGGCCUAGGAUUUUAAAGUAUAUUGCACUCAUGUGAAUCAUUUUACUCUUUUGUAGUUUCAAUAGUUUCCAGAUCAUUUUACCUGCAGUCGAGCCGUUGCCACAUUUAAUGACAUUUUGAGGUAGGCCUGGGAAAUAUGGAUAAAUCAUCAAUAAAAUGUACAAAUGUCCUGCAUAUUACUUUAAAACUGCACUCAUAAUGCACUAAAGUCCUUAAAAUAUGGAAAUAUAUUUUAUUUGUGAAGUGUUGUACAAUAUAGCUCACAAAAGAGUGUUAGAAAAAUGUGUUGCCAUGUUUUUAUUUCAUAUAAACAAUAUCUUACUAAAUUA